rnacentral:rRNA from 1 species
UACGUAGGGGGCAAGCGUUGUCCGGAUUUAUUGGGCGUAAAGAGCGUGUAGGCGGCCUGGAAGGUCAGCUGUGAAAACUCGAGGCUCAACCUCGAGACGUCGGUUGAAACCACCUGGCUAGAGUCCGGAAGAGGAGAGUAGAAUUCCUGGUGUAGCGGUGAAAUGCGUAGAUAUCAGGAGGAAUACCGGUGGUGUAGACGGCUCUCUGGACCGCAACUGACGCUGAAACACGAAAGCGUGGGUAGCAAACAGG